UAGGGAAUUUUCCGCAAUGGGCGCAAGCCUGACGGAGCAACGCCGCGUGAGGGAUGAAGGUUUUCGGAUCGUAAACCUCUGUCUUCAGGGACGAUAAUGACGGUACCUGAGGAGGAAGCCACGGCUAACUACGUGCCAGCAGCCGCGGUAAUACGUAGGUGGCGAGCGUUGUCCGGAAUUACUGGGCGUAAAGGGCGUGUAGGCGGCCUUUUAAGUCAGAUGUGAAAUCUCAGGGCUUAACCCUGAAACUGCAUUUGAAACUGGAGGGCUUGAGGAUCGGAGAGGGCAGUGGAAUUCCCAGUGUAGCGGUGAAAUGCGUAGAUAUUGGGAGGAACACCAGUGGCGAAGGCGACUGCCUGGACGACACCUGACGCUGAGGCGCGAAAGCUAGGGGAGCGAACGGG
rnacentral:rRNA from 1 species